UUAUACAUAUUUAUUAUAGGUUUAUAUUGUUUUACCCGAAAGGGGGUUAAAAAUAUAGGUUGGUACCUUUUGCAUUAUGGUUAAACAAAUACUUGAGAGUAUUCUCUAACCCGAAUUAAGAAGGUCUUAGGGUAGGUUAGUUUUGGCUUAAAAGCUUUAUGUGACAAUAUGAAUGCUUUAAACUUACCCUAAGGGUCGAAAUGACUACAAUUCUUAAGAUAGCUGGAUGCUGCCUAAAUGUUUUUAAAACUUAAGUCAAUUACUUGGUGUUUAGGUCAAGUAAAUAGAGAAUUAUUUGUUAUUUAAAUUUUUGGGUUAACCCUCUGUUUUAAAGUAAAAAUAUAUUAAUUAAUUAAAAAUCUCUAUUAGAAGGUGGUAGUCUUUAUAACUAAAAGAAAGAAUUACACUGUUUAAAUUAGUAAUACAAAUAAAAUUAAUGAAAAGGAACUCGGCAAACAUAUACCUCAACUGUUUAACAAAAACAUAGCCUAAAGCAUGUAUUUUAGGUGGAACCUGCCCAGUGAUAUUUUAACGGCCGCAGUACUCUGACUGUGCUAAGGUAGCGUAAUAAGUUGGCUUUUAAAUGAAGUCAGGUAUGAAUGGAUUUAUGGGGUUAAGCUGUCCUUUUUUAAUGUUUUGAAUUUAUCUUUUGGGUGAAAAUUCCCAAAUCACAUCAAGGGACGAGAAGACCCUUAGAGCUUAACUAUGACUAGAAAAAUAAAUAGUUUUGUUGGGGCGACACAGGAGGAUAAUCCUCCUGUAAAACAUGCCGAUUUUUAUAAGUAAGAUUAGCUACCUUAGGGAUAACAGCAUAAUAUUAAAAUUAAGCUUGUGACCUCGAUGUUGGACUAGGGACUUUAACUGAUUAGAAGUUGUUAAAUUGGUUCUGUUCGAACUAUUCUCCCU
rnacentral:rRNA from 1 species